UUUGGAUGAUACCAGAAGUUAAUAACCUAUUAAAUUCUGCAGUAGGAACAAAUGACAUGUUGGUUAUUGGUGUCUUUGAAGUCACACGUGUGGAGGACUCCCUAGAAUGGACACCUGCCUCUGAGUGGAUUGCUGGGCCAGAGGCUGACGUGCAUCUGAAACUUGACGAGCUGCAGCCAAAUCAUCCUCUGAAGUUUUAACAAUUUCCAUUCCCGCCAACAGUGUCUGAGUCAUCCUUGCCCUGGGAAUUGUCAGGUCAGCAUUGUCAGAUUUUUAAAGUUUUGCCAAUCUGAUGAGUGAGAAAUGAUGUAUUUGUUUUCCUCUUUGUACAACUGUUUUGACAAAUUCAUAGAGCUGUGCAACUACCAAAAUUGAGAUACAGAACAGUUCCAGCACCCAGAACUCCCUUCAGCUGCUCUUUUGUAGUCAUCUCUUCCCCCACCCUUAACCCCUGGUGACUAAUGAUUUGUUGUCUUUCCCUAUGGUUUGUCUUUUCUAGAAUAUCAUAUAAAUGGAAUCCUACAGUA